AUUGAACGCUGGCGGCAGGCUUAACACAUGCAAGUCGAGCGGAGAUGAGGUGCUUGCACCUUAUCUUAGCGGCGGACGGGUGAGUAAUGCUUAGGAAUCUGCCUAUUAGUGGGGGACAACAUUCCGAAAGGAAUGCUAAUACCGCAUACGUCCUACGGGAGAAAGCAGGGGAUCUUCGGACCUUGCGCUAAUAGAUGAGCCUAAGUCGGAUUAGCUAGUUGGUGGGGUAAAGGCCUACCAAGGCGACGAUCUGUAGCGGGUCUGAGAGGAUGAUCCGCCACACUGAGACUGAGAAACGGCCCGGACUCCUACGGGAGGCAGCAGUGGGGAAUAUUGGACAAUGGGUGGAACCCUGAUCCAGCCAUGCCGCGUGUGUGAAGAAGGCCUUAUGGUUGUAAAGCACUUUAAGCGAGGAGGAGGCUACUGAGACUAAUACUCUUGGGUAGUGGACGUUACUCGCACAAUAAGCACCGGCUAACUCUCUGCCCGCCGCCCCCGUAACAC
rnacentral:rRNA from 1 species